rnacentral:rRNA from 1 species
UACGAAGGGUGCAAGCGUUACUCGGAAUUACUGGGCGUAAAGCGUGCGUAGGCGGUUCAUUAAGUCCGUUGUGAAAGCCCUGGGCUCAACCUGGGAAUGGCAGUGGAUACUGGCGAGCUAGAGUGUGAUAGAGGAUGGUGGAAUUCCCGGUGUAGCGGUGAAAUGCGUAGAGAUCGGGAGGAACACCAGUGGCGAAGGCGGCCAUCUGGAUCAACACUGACGCUGAGGCACGAAAGCGUGGGGAGCAAACAGG